GACUGCGAGUGAUAAGAUCCGUAGUCAAAAGGGAAACAGCCCAGACCGCCAGCUAAGGUCCCAAAGUGUGUAUUAAGUGGAAAAGGAUGUGGAGUUGCUUAGACAACUAGGAUGUUGGCUUAGAAGCAGCCACCAUUUAAAGAGUGCGUAAUAGCUCACUAGUCGAGUGACUCUGCGCCGAAAAUGUACCGGGGCUAAAUACACCACCGAAGCUGCGGAUUGAUACCAAUGGUAUCAGUGGUAGGGGAGCGUUCUAAGGACAGUGAAGUCAGACCGGAAGGACUGGUGGAGUGCUUAGAAGUGAGAAUGCCGGUAUGAGUAGCGAAAGACGGGUGAGAAUCCCGUCCACCGAAUGCCUAAGGUUUCCUGAGGAAGGCUCGUCCGCUCAGGGUUAGUCAGGACCUAAGCCGAGGCCGACAGGCGUAGGCGAUGGACAACAGGUUGAUAUUCCUGUACCACCUCUUUAUCGUUUGAGCAAUGGAGGGACGCAGAAGGAUAGAAGAAGCGUGCGAUUGGUUGUGCACGUCCAAGCAGUUAGGCUGAUAAGUAGGCAAAUCCGCUUAUCGUGAAGGCUGAGCUGUGAUGGGGAAGCUCCUUAUGGAGCGAAGUCUUUGAUUCCCCGCUGCCAAGAAAAGCUUCUAGCGAGAUAAAAGGUGCCUGUACCGCAAACCGACACAGGUAGGCGAGGAGAGAAUCCUAAGGUGUGCGAGAGAACUCUGGUUAAGGAACUCGGCAAAAUGACCCCGUAACUUCGGGAGAAGGGGUGCUUUCUUAACGGAAAGCCGCAGUGAAUAGGCCCAAGCGACUGUUUAGCAAAAACACAGCUCUCUGCGAAGCCGUAAGGCGAAGUAUAGGGGGUGACACCUGCCCGGUGCUGGAAGGUUAAGGAGAGGGGUUAGCGUAAGCGAAGCUCUGAACUGAAGCCCCAGUAAACGGCGGCCGUAACUAUAACGGUCCUAAGGUAGCGAAAUUCCUUGUCGGGUAAGUUCCGACCCGCACGAAAGGUGUAACGAUUUGGGCACUGUCUCAACCAGAGACUCGGUGAAAUUAUAGUACCUGUGAAGAUGCAGGUUACCCGCGACAGGACGGAAAGACCCCGUGGAGCUUUACUGUAGCCUGAUAUUGAAUUUUGGUACAGUUUGUACAGGAUAGGCGGGAGCCUUUGAAACCGGAGCGCUAGCUUCGGUGGAGGCGCUGGUGGGAUACCGCCCUGACUGUAUUGAAAUUCUAACCUACGGGUCUUAUCGACCCGGGAGACAGUGUCAGGUGGGCAGUUUGACUGGGGCGGUCGCCUCCUAAAGUGUAACGGAGGCGCCCAAAGGUUCCCUCAGAAUGGUUGGAAAUCAUUCGUAGAGUGCAAAGGCAUAAGGGAGCUUGACUGCGAGACCUACAAGUCGAGCAGGGACGAAAGUCGGGCUUAGUGAUCCGGUGGUUCCGCAUGGAAGGGCCAUCGCUCAACGGAUAAAAGCUACCCCGGGGAUAACAGGCUUAUCUCCCCCAAGAGUCCACAUCGACGGGGAGGUUUGGCACCUCGAUGUCGGCUCAUCGCAUCCUGGGGCUGUAGUCGGUCCCAAGGGUUGGGCUGUUCGCCCAUUAAAGCGGUACGCGAGCUGGGUUCAGAACGUCGUGAGACAGUUCGGUCCCUAUCCGUCGUGGGCGUAGGAAAUUUGAGAGGAGCUGUCCUUAGUACGAGAGGACCGGGAUGGACGCACCGCUGGUGUACCAGUUGUUCUGCCAAGGGCAUAGCUGGGUAGCUAUGUGCGGAAGGGAUAAGUGCUGAAAGCAUCUAAGCAUGAAGCCCCCCUCAAGAUGAGAUUUCCCAUAGCGUAAGCUAGUAAGAUCCCUGAAAGAUGAUCAGGUUGAUAGGUUCGAGGUGGAAGCAUGGUGACAUGUGGAGCUGACGAAUACUAAUAGAUCGAGGACUUAACCAU
rnacentral:rRNA from 1 species